rnacentral:misc_RNA from 1 species
AACUCUUAGCAACGGAUCUCUUGGCUCUCGCAUCGAUGAAGAACGCAGCGAAAUGCGAUAAGUAAUGAGAAUUGCAGAAUUCAGUGAAUCAUCGAAUCUUUGAACGCAUCUUGCGCUCCUUGGUAUUCGGAGGAGCAUGCCUGUUUGAGUGUCAUUAAAAGUUCUCAACCACUCUGGUUCUUUCCGGUGUGUCUUGGAUUUGAGGGGUUUUGCAGGCUUUUGAACUGAAGUCGGCUCCCUUGAAAAGGAUUAGUGGUGUCUGAGCAGAAGCCGCCAUGGGUAUGAUAAUUAUCUAUGCCUUGGUGGAAUGCCUGACCACAAAAAAGUGUUGUGUUUUGACGAAUUUGACCUCAAAUCAGGUAGGACUACCCGCUGAACUUAAGCAUAUCAAUAAGCGGAGGCU